UGUAUUGAAGCCGAAGUGAAAACGGAGGUGCGUGUGAACCAGUAGGAGCCACAGAACUUGGGAGUUGCAUAUGUUCAUUGUGGUGGGGAGUUACAUGGCCAGCAAGGUCCCUGUGGCCAGUAUCCCAGCUGCCAUUACCGAAUCGUGUAGGUAGGCACCACCUCAACCUUUUUUUGUGUACGAGAUCUGUUUGAUCCUCCGUGAUAGGUCUGAUGAAGGGGAAUCUAUAUAUUUUUUCCAUAUGGGGAAACUGAGGUUUAUGGAGCUCAAGUAAUAUAUCCAUGGUCUUGUCAGUAUUCAGGCCCAGGGCAGUACAAUUAAAAUGCCUAUAACCCUUCUAUUUCCCUCAACCAGUUCACUAGGUCACAGUCACCAGGACAAACAGCUAUUUCAAAUCUCAGUCUGGCAAAAUUAAGAUAUAGAGAGUUCAUGUUAGUGUCUAUCGACGUAACUGUUAAAAACAAGCAAAAUAAAACCAAAAAAUGUACAUCUUCCCGAGGACCCACAUUGACAUUAGCUGAGAUCAAGGCUGAAAGUUUUGAAGUUGGAGAAGAGAUUUCUUGUUGCCUUCGUCAGGGCAGCUGCCUCGUCCUGAGCCCUUGAGUAGUCUGUUCAGAAUCUGGAGAUGGAUCAUGUGAGCGGGAUGUAACAGGCCUACCUCUGCUCGUGCUUGGCUGGGUUUCAGACCUCGGCUGCAGAGACAGUGUACUAUAAAUAGAUGAGAGGAAGAGCCUUUGCACAAAAUUCCUAUGUUCCUAGAGCUGUCACCUUUUGGGCCAAGCUGUCCUAGUCUUGGGGCCAUGAAGUUUCUGCAAGUAACUUGUAUGAGUUUGUUUUCAUGCUGACCACACCCCCGUCACAGAAGAAGCACGGUUCUUUAAUACGAGGUAACCAUCAACAACAUGGUGACUUUAGCCUCACCCCUAAAUGUGACAAUUUUGUGAGUGAAUGUUAAGAAGGAAGAAGUGUGUCGGUAGCACCAGUAACCAUAGAGUGGAACUCUUAGGAUUUCAGUGACUUGUCCUCAAGGAUGGUCAAGUGUCUGCACACUGGAGAAAGAAACACAUUUCCUUGGGGUCUUUGCUAACUGUGCACACACAUGAGGCUACCCCCCAAGGCUACUGACCAUCAUGGGUGCAAAGAAACUGGGUUUCCAGCGAACAGGUGUUAAAAUCUGCAUUUCUCUGUAGUCAGGAGUUGCAUCAUCUCGGGUUGAUUUUUCUGGAGGAGAUUGCAGAGUAGCGGCCCACAGGUAAUGCAUUUCCAAAGGAUAUAUCCGUUGUGCUGAAAAGCACAGAGCCAGAAUAAUCUGUAACCUAUUCCACCCAAAUAAAUAAGUCAGCAAAUAAGUCUGCUUUCAUUGUAUUUUCUUCUUCAUAAAUAUCCUUUAAAUUGAACCUGAGUGACAGGGUAUGUGUUUGCCACUAAAAUGUUAUCACUGAUGAUAUUGAAAGAGCCUUUAAAAUACCACAAUUGUCAUUGAAACUGUACUUUGCUUUUACCCCCUCUCUUUUGCUAGUAACUAGGUCUCUUUGGGAAUUUUUAAAGUGACAAUUGGUAGAUUGUAGCCGAUGAUAUUUCUUUCACAUAAUACUUCUGAAUGCCACUCAACUCUGACUUGAUUAGCUCCAAAUAUCCCAAGGAAGAGAAAUGUUACAUCCCAGAAUGUAAAGCUUAUUGAAGGUUAUUUGCUCCUUAAUUUUUACCCCUUUACAGAAUGGGCAAAGAAAUUGAGGCAGCAGUGUUAGGAUUUGGCCUCAAAGGAUACAUACUCCUGUCAGAAUCAAUCUAUACCUCUCGGCUUGAGUACAGGGUUUGUGUAUGCUUAUUAGAUUCGCAAAUGUUAUUCAGCUUGAUUGUAGCUUUUAUACAAAGAAGUUAAGACAUGGGCAGGAAAGAUAAUAGAACUAUAAAUUGCAAGACAGGUUCUUAUGAAAUCAGUAAAUUAUUCAUUUAACAGUUUGCUCCAUGUUGAUUUCAUGUUGCUAUGGCACCUCAGGAUCCACAGGCCCAACCGGGGGGCAGACAAAAAUGAGCACAAAUCCUGGUGGAAGGCAGGUGAUGCGUUACAUACAACCUUCGGCCACCUGAAAAAUUGCCUCUUUAUCUGGCACAUUCCGAGGAGAUCUACAGAAAGAACUGAAAGAGAUAUCUCACAGUGGCUAACAUCUCUUGGAAGAGACCCAACCAUCUCAGGGUUGGAGUCAGAAUCUGUUUAAGAAUGCAUUGUCUUGGAGUGGUGUGCCUGUCUCCUAAGAUGUUGGAAACACCGUGGGCUCACGGUUGCUUUGGCGUCCAUGCUACAGUAAAUGCCUGACUUCAUUUGUUAUUUUGAAGGGCAAAGAAAACUGCCUGCCAACAGUCAUGCUCUUUCCUAAGCACUUCGCAGCCUUACUUCUGUAGUCCUCCUCCGCCCAGUUACAGCUUGAUUGCUUACUGCUUGUUAAAUUAUUGUACUUAAGAAAUUCACAUGGUAGGGCCAAAGCCAUGUCACUCAUGUCUAAUGGAAUUGAAGGGAGACUGAGUGUGACCAGAGUCCAGAGACUUGGUGCUGGAGUUAGCUAUGGCCUGGUCACUAUUAGACCUUGGAAUCGUUCCUGCAGCUCUGAAUCUCAGCAUCCUCAUUUUAAGCACAGGAGUAUGAGCUGCAUGACUUGGGUGGUCUUUUCCUUCUCUGGCAUUCUGAGACACUGUGCCUAUAACUUGCAUUGAUUCCUGCUUGUGGACAGCAGUGACAUUAUGAGGACCUGCAGGCCAUCUGAAUGUGCCUGCGUUGAGAAAGUCAGGGCCAGACCACAUAGAUGCAUUGGACUCUGCGGAGAUUUUGUGUGAGUGAGACUUCAGAAUUGAGCAGUUCCUUCUGACAGUUUGAUAGAUGGAGUGGUUUUGCAUGGCAUCCAUGGGGGAACUGACAGAAAAGGAAGCAUUUUCUAAGAAAGUCUGGCUCUGUGAGUUUGUCAGGGUAUUUUUCUCCCCGAUCAAAUCUUCAAACUUUGCUUUGAAAGGGCAACAACAAUAACCUAAUGCAAUAUACUUGCAUAUUUGAUCAUGUUGACCACAGCCCCUCUUAAUUUCUCGUAGCAAACUGGUAAUGAUAACCGUUAGCAUUUGCAUUGUGAAGUCCGUGGUGUUACCCCCACGGGACAGAAACCAAGCCUAGCAAAAAGACAGAAGCCAAGCCAGUUAUUGUGUAGAGAAGCAUUGUGAAUGGGCUACAAAGUAGUUACCUAGGUAGCUCAAAGAGUAGAAGAAAACUCUGAGGCGUGUGCUUUCUAGCAUUAGGGUGCAUAUGGAUCCUCUGCAGAUCAUAUUCAAACACAGAUUACUGGGCCCAACCCCAGAAUUUCUGGGUGACCCCAAAACUCACAUUUCUAACAAGUUUUCAGGGGCUAUGGAUGGUGCUGGUUUGGGGGCCACUGUAAGAUGCCAUGGAUGUAGUAAAUGCAGGAAGCAGCCACCAUCCCUACCCUACCAAGGGCUGAUGAGUUUGGAAUGAUUAACAUGAGAUAUUUGGGAUGACAGGAUGUGGUUCAAUAGCAGAGCACCUGCUUAGCAUACAUGAAGCCCUGAGUUCAAAUCUUCAGCACUGCAAAACAAGGAAACAAAAACCUUAGCUGUUCGGAGGAAGUAGCGCUCUAAGCCUCUGGGCAGGGGGUCUUGGCCUCUGGUUCUGGUUUCUCUGAGGAGUGUAUACUGUACCCCUUACCUCUGGUUCUGCAAGCAUUGGGAGAAACUGUAAAGUGGACUAAGCUUCCAGUAGGGGAAAGCACCAUGACUGCCAACAUGAAAACACAUUGCUAGGGUGAUGCAGCCUCCCAGAAGCAGUAGGGAAGAGGCAAGACCUUUGUCCUCCCCUAGCCUUGAGGUGUCCCUCUAGCGCCUCCUAUUGGCAGAGUCUAACAAGGAACAGAUGGCAAAGCAGAAAUGUAAGUGGUUUGCAGGGUCCUAGCAGUAGGCACCACAACAAGUAUAACAGGGGGCUUUGGGAGCGGAGAGCUGGUUUUACAGGUGAGGAAACUGAGGCACUUUCCCAGAGUCUCAUAGGUAGUAGGCAGCAGGACUGGAGUUUGCAGCCAUGUGGUUGGCUCUUGAGUCCUUACCUGCUACCCCGUAUCUGUCAGGAGACUGGUCUCUCUGGCUGUCGUUCCUCUCUCUCUGUUCUCGCCCUCCAAGGCUGGUUGCUUCUCCUCUGCCCCCUAAGGCAGGUGUUCUCAGGGCCUCAUCCCCAGCACCUUCUCCCUCCACCUUUAUGUAAACAGGUCUACGUCAAAGCUUCUCCCCUUGCUUGCUUUGUUGGGGGUGCUGAGCUUGGAAAUCCAGUGGUCUUCGGGACAUUUCCCCUUGAAUGUUGGGUAGAGAGAAAUAUUCCUUCUCUCACUGAUUUUGGUAUUGCUAACCUCAAAAAAGCUCUCUCUACUGAUUAUUUCAGGUUUUAAGUAUGUUUUUACCUACUAGUCCAUUUUUACUUAUACACUGGCUUACUGUCUCCUUUAUAUAUUUUUCAGUUUACUGAGUAAACUGAAAUUGGAGAAAUGUCCCUCAAAAACAGCUUUGUUUAUAUCCCUUCUCUGCUUGAAAAUGUUCCUACAGGAAGCUGAGCUCCCCUCCGAGACAGUAGGGUGUCUUUAUCACUUGGCUGGUGGACCCUCUAUGGCACAUGCAUGCCCGUGUCUUUUCUCUAUUCCAGUCCCAACUUCUGUAGCCCAUUGGGCUACUGAUGGAGUUUUGCUCAUGCCUCUUCCACCCAGAUGUUCUCUGUCCCCUGGAAGGUGAGCCAUUAUCUGAACUGACUCUCAUCUUCUCUGUUUCUGAGUCCUGGUGUGGGCUUCCCCAUGGUGCAUGCUCACUAAAGAGCUAAGCACUUCUGGCUCUGAGGUGUGUUCCCAUAGUAUUUUGUUUCCAUUCCAGAACAGCCUCCUUCCCAGCUGGAACAAAUAGGCCUGACUAGUCUAGUCUCAGGAAAAGUGUCCCCAGGCCACAUUGUUGAUCUCAGCAUAUGUUUCACAGCAAAGGGUGGGGAUCAAGCUCUUGGUUGUCCCUCCUGAGCUAGUGCUGUGUCUUCUAAAUUGAGAGUUUUAAAUUCUUGGAUUUCUGAAGGUCGUCUGGCUAAAAUGUGAAGCUUUCUUGAGUCUGUGUUGAUCUCUUCUUUAAUUUCUCCCAAUUGCCUCUGUAUCUAGAAAAGGACUGAACCAUUUGCACAUGUAGAAACAAAGGAUUCUUCAGGUGGAAGCCAUGCAUGGAAGGGAAGAACUCCCAAUACCUGUCGUGGAUGUUACUUAGAAAACUCGGAGCUGCUCGGGGGCAAGAGGGCUAUGGUUCUGUCUAGGAGACUACACAGGCCCCUUCUUCCAGGCCUUCACAGAGCCUUCCCUAUGUAAUGAUUAGCUCUCUGAAUCUCCAGCUAUACUGUAUGCUGAGCCCCCAGCUGAAGGCAGUGGGUGUUUGGCCACAGGAAUGUACUUUUAUGGGACUAGUGUUCCUUGGAACCUGCUUUGCAACACGUUGCCAUAAUAACUACGUGCUCCAGAGGGGUCAGGGAGGACAGAGUCCAGUCUGAGGAUUAGCCAGUGGCCUCCUCCUCCCAUCAUGGAAGGGAGGGCAUCACUGGGUGAAGGAGGCCAUCAGGGGAAAUGACAGCCAUGGCUGCACCUGUGCUCUGAGCCCCUUCUACCCUUGCAGGCUGAGACUGCUUGUACGCCACCCAUGCACCUGACCACACCAUUGUACCUGACCCACUUCCUUCCAUCAUAGCCCUGGGAUGGAGAGGCCUUCCAUGUCUCCAACCAGGCUCGUUCCCUCAGUCACCUCCCAAGGAUGCAGUCAGAACAACACCUUCUGCUGCUUCUGGAAUGAGUUUUAGCCUCUUUUGCAAAUUGCUCUCUGGCUUUGAACGCCCAUGCACGUGAGUGUAGCAUUUCAGCUGCCUGGUUGGUGAGCGAGGGACGUUGCAGGGGUAUUUUUUUUUUCUCCUAGCAAAUACAGACAAUACUCUUCUCUAAUCAACAGGUUCGCAAGCAUUCGAGAACAAAAAUGCAUUUAUAAGGGGCUCUCCUAGGCUUUUGGAAUUAGAGCAGAGAUAUUGCUUUCUUUUCACUUCAGUUAAUCCAAAUGAGCUGAGUCUCCUUUCUAUAGGGAAGAGCAAAACAAAACAAAAACCUAACCCAGCAAAAUCGAGGCUUUUGUACUCCCAAAAUAGGACUCUGAGAAUAGUUUAGGUCAUUGGAAUCAUGACAGAAACAGUGUUUAUAUAACUUUUCUCUUGCAGAGAACUUGAAAGUGAUUUCUUUAUGUGCAAAUAAUAUAUGGGAUUUAUUUCACCCUCUUUUGCCAAACUCAUCUUCUUCCACGGAUGUGUGCUUGGAAAGCUUAUUUGCUGGUGGGCAACCUUCUUGUUUUUGCUUUGAGUAAGUUGUCAUUUAGGUACUGAAUUCUCCAUCAUUAGUUCUGAGACGAGAAGAUACAAAUGGUGGCCAAUCCAGAGUCUGGAAAUGAGAAUCAGUUUGAAAGACCACCUUUAUCCCUGCCACCUAGAUUGUUCGUUAUCUUGUGAUAUUUCCGUGUCUUACCAGACUUACUGAGUGAGGACUUAUUUUGUCCAAAACUCUGUAAGGGCUGCAAAGAUCCAUGUCACCCAUGUCCUUGCCUGCAGGGAACACAGAGUGUAAUGGACAAGACAGCGAUCGACACCAUAAUACAAGGAGAGAAGGGGGAGCACACAAAGUGCUUUGGGAUUGUAAAAGAGAGGAGGGUAAAUCUUCCCAGAUGGGGAGAUGAGGCACUGGCACUUGAGCUAGACUUGAAGGCUGGGUUGCAUUUCAGUGGGCAGAGGGCAUGAUGUGGUUCAUCAGAUGUGGGAAGCGCAGGCUACACGUCUUGGCUUUCUCAUAUGCCCAGCUUUAGCCUCCUUGAACCGGAUGUCCCAUGUACUUUCUUUCUUUUCCAUUUCUUUAAAUGAGCCAUGUUCCCUCCUUGGAGCUCUCUUUCUACACUGCCCACCUUCACCUCUGUGCCAGCAGACGUCUACUGUCCUGCCAGUUUGCUCUUUCUUUACCCACUGCUUCCUCCAUUCCCGAAGCACUCUGUGCCCCCUCCGUACACACUGCCUAGUGCCUCAUGUUAAUUCUUUGCCUGUCCAUCAUGCCACUAGCCUAUGAGCUGCUCCCUCUGCUUAGCUCUGUGCCAGGCCCAUGGUAGACUCCAGUAACUGUGCAUGGAGGGAUUAGAUGGAGAGAACCAGAGGAAGGAGCCCAGAGCAGCAGCCAGUGCUGCCUUCAUUUGUGUACUCCCACCUACAACAUGCUGGUCUGAGUUUCCCUCAUUUCUCCUGAAUGUGCUACUAAGGUUACUGCAGAGAACCAGAGGGAAACUCAUUUAGAUAGAGCCACACCAUUUCCCUUUUCCUUGUCCCAGGAGAAAAUGAUAUUUCCAUACAUCCUAAACAUCUGUCUCAAUUGAAUAAUGAAAGAUAAUCAGCAAAGGGUUGAAAUUUCCUCUCCUUGGAAAGAUCUUCUUUCCUACUAUCGUAUCAUAUCUUAUUUACUAUCAUUGGGGCUCAGGAAUGUGGUGGGGGGGAUUUGCUGGUUCUUUGCCCUGGCUUUUGGGGUCCAGCACUGUGUAUAUUAAACUUUUCAAGAGCCAGACAUGUGUCUUAAAAACGUGUUCCAAUCCUGCAAAAUGACAGUGCAUUAGGGCUGGCUGUGUGCAAACAUGGCAAGAGAAAAUUCGAUGUGCUGGCACAGAGCUUCGAGCGCCCUUCUCUAAGAGCCUCUCUGUGGGGAAGCAGGCACUGCCAGGAGCCAGCCAGGGCCCAAGACUUCGCUCUCAGCUCUGUCCUCAUUUAUGUGUCAUCAGAGCCAUUAAGGGUCAUUAAAACCUUGGGUUCUGGUGCCAGCUCUGCUGCCAACUGGCUGAGGGGCCUCGGGCAAGCCACACGGCUUCUGGGGUCCAGGUUGCCCUCAUCUGUCAAGGAGGGCUUUGGACAUGAGCUCUGAGGGUCUCUCCAGUUUCCCAAUCCACGAAUCCGUGAAAGACCGCAGGGCGAGAGGUUGACGUGGGGUCUGGUGGAACUUCUCCAGGGAGACUGUGCACUGGGAGAACGGAGCAGCAGCAAGGGUCAGGCGGGAGGGGAUGUGGGCUGGGGCUGCAGGGGCCCAGGGGCGGAUGCUGUCAGGUGCUUUGGAGGAGAGGAGGCAGGGUAAAGAAGGGCAGAUCCAUCUGGCAGGAAAAAGUGGACCCUGAACUUGAAGCAAAUACACCAGGCUUCUGAGAAUGAGCUUUGGAAUUCCAAAUGGGCCACAGCGGCUCCUGGCACAGCCAUCCCCUUGGUGGACAGAGCCCCUGAAGCCAGCUGGUAUCGCCCAGUAGCUUUCCCAGAAUUGCUCUGGUUUGUGCACCCGUAGGGCUCAGCUCACAUUGCCUUCUCUCCUUCCCCUGAACUUCCUUUCCCUGAACCUCCCCUGACACACACAGCUGCUCCUCACUCACCAUCAGCAACAUCAGAGGAGCCUGCUGUGUACAGGGUGCCGUGCUGGCCACCAGCAACAGCUGCUGUGUGAUCCUCAGUCCACUUAGCACCAACCUAAUAAUGUUCACCAUGGAUGCUGGAGGAAAUGCAGGCUGUGAAGCAAUGGAGGGGACCUGGAAGGCGCUGACCUCUGCCCUGUGGCAGCUCCAUUCUGCUGAUGCUCCUGGCAGGUGUAUGAAGCCACAGUGAGCCUUCUUGCUGCCAUUCACUGAGGCCCUCCAUCCUGGCGGCUUUGCCUCAGUUUUCUUUCCUGGAUGAUGCAUUCUUGAUGCUGGCCAGAAGGAAAAUGAGCCUUGCUAUGAAAGUCAACAUUUUCCUCUUUUCAAACUUCAUUUUCAUUCUCCAAGUACUACAUUAGUAUUAUAAUUUGCUCCUGAUACCACUUAAAUUGGUUGUGAUUAAAGCUUUUUCUUCUUUUUCUUUUUCAACCAGAAUUGCUGCCUGGAGUUCACAUAUUAAUAAAGACGAAAAAGAUAA